rnacentral:rRNA from 1 species
GGGGUAGGUCCGCACGAGCGCACCCUUAUCCUUUGUUGCCAGCACGUAAUGGUGGGAACUCAAAGGAGACUGCCGGUGAUAAACCGGAGGAAGGUGGGGAUGACGUCAAGUCAUCAUGGCCCUUACGAGUAGGGCUACACACGUGCUACAAUGGCAGAUACAAAGAGAAGCGACCUCGCGAGAGCAAGCGGAACUCAUAAAGUCUGUCGUAGUCCGGAUUGGAGUCUGCAACUCGACUCCAUGAAGUCGGAAUCGCUAGUAAUCGUAGAUCAGAAUGCUACGGUGAAUACGUUCCCGGGCCUUGUACACACCGCCCGU